rnacentral:rRNA from 1 species
CCAGACUCCUACGGGAGGCAGCAGUGAGGAAUAUUGGUCAAUGGCCGCAGGGCUGAACCAGCCAAGUCGCGUGAGGGAUGACGGUCCUAUGGAUUGUAAACCUCUUUUGUCGGGGAGCAAAAGACGCCACGCGUGGCGUUCCGAGAGUACCCGAAGAAAAAGCAUCGGCUAACUCCGUGCCAGCAGCCGCGGUAAUACGGAGGAUGCGAGCGUUAUCCGGAUUUAUUGGGUUUAAAGGGCGCGCAGGGGGAAGAUAAUGUCUGGGGUAAAAUUGAGGGGCUCACCCUCUGCGAGCCGUUGAAACUGGUUUUCUUGAGUGAGCGAGAAGUAUGCGGAAUGCGUGGUGUAGCGGUGAAAUGCAUAGAUAUCACGCAGAACUCCGAUUGCGAAGGCAGCAUACCGGCGCUCAACUGACGCUCAUGCACGAAAGUGUGGGUAUCGAACAGGAUUAGAUACCCUGGUAC